rnacentral:rRNA from 1 species
UACGUAGGGGGCGAGCGUUAUCCGGAUUCACUGGGCAUAAAGCGCGCGUAGGCGGUUUUUUAAGUCAGAUGUUAAAUGUCUCAGCUCAACUGAGGCCUGCAUUUGAAACUGAAUUACUAGAGGUCAGGAGAGGAAAGCGGAACUCACGGUGUAGCGGUGAAAUGCGUAGAUAUCGUGAGGAACAUCAGUUGCGAAGGCGGCUUUCUGGACUGAUUCUGACGCUAAGGCGCGAAAGCGUGGGGAGCAAACGGG